GGGCUUAUAGUCUAGUGGUUAUGACGUCGCCUUCACACGGCGGAGGUCAGGAGUUCGAAUCUCCUUAAGCCCA
rnacentral:tRNA from 1 species